AUUGAACGCUGGCGGCAGGCCUAACACAUGCAAGUCGAGCGGAUGAAGGGAGCUUGCUCCUGGAUUCAGCGGCGGACGGGGGAGUAAUGCCUAGGAAUCUGCCUGGUAGGGGGGGAUAACGUCCGGAAACGGGCGCUAAUACCGCAUACGUCCUGAGGGAGAAAGUGGGGGAUCUUCGGACCUCACGCUAUCAUAUGAGCCUAGGUCGGAUUAGCUAGUUGGUGGGGUAAAGGCCUACCAAGGCGACGAUCCGUAACUGGUCUGAGAGGAUGAUCAGUCACACUGGAACUGAGACACGGUCCAGACUACUACGGGAGGCAGCAGUGGGGAAUAUUGGACAAAGGGCGAAAGUCUGAUCCAGCCAUGCCGCGUGUGUGAAGAAGGUCUUCGGAUUGUAAAGAACUUUAAGUUGGGAGGAAGGGCAGUAAGUUAAUACCUUGCUGUUUUGACGUUAACAACAGAAUAAGCACCGGCUAACUUCGUG
rnacentral:rRNA from 1 species